GACAGAGGUCCCGAGCGUUGGGCGGAAUCACUGGGCUUAAAGCGUGUGUAGGCGGAGUGCUAAGUACCUUGUGAAAUCCCACGGCUCAACCGUGGAACUGCUCGGUAUACUGGUUCUCUUGAGCCACCUAGGGGCAACCGGAACAAACGGUGGAGCGGUGAAAUGCGUAGAUAUCGUUUGGAACGCCAAUGGUGAAAACAGGUUGCUGGGGGUGUGCUGACGCUGAGACACGAAAGCCAGGGGAGCAAACGGG
rnacentral:rRNA from 1 species